rnacentral:lncRNA from 1 species
GCGGCCGGGCUUGCGGCCACCCUUCUUUCCGCCUUUGGCCGCGCCGCUGUCGGCGGCCGCCUUGCAGGCGCCCUUGCGGAAGGUCACGCCGGUGCAGGAGGCGAGGCACUCAUUGUGGUACUCCACGCCGUCGUUGCCGCACACGAGGUCGGCCUUGGCAACCUCGGGAUCAUCGGAAGGCGCGGGGCAGGUGACGGCGGCGCAGCCGCUGGCGUCGGCGCAGCGCCCCUCGUAGGCGACGGAAGCACCGCCACACGUAGCCAUGCACUCAUUUGAGUAAGUGGUGAGUUUGCCGUCCUUCUUGCCGCACACGGGCGCGAGCAUCUUGUUGCACGCGCACACGCCAGUCGGCAACUGCUGCUCAGUCUCCUCGCCGGACUCGCCGUCUCCGCUGCCGCUGCCACCGCCGCUGCUGCUGCCGCAGGCGCCCUUGCGGAAACUCACGCCGGUGCAGGAGGCAAGGCACUCAUUGGGGUACUCCACGCCGUCGUUGCCGCACACGAGGUCGGCCUUGGCAACCUCGGGAUCAUCGGAAGGCGCGGGGCAGGUGACGGCGGCGCAGCCGCUGGCGUCGGCGCAGCGGCCCUCGUAGGCGACAGAGGCGCCGUCACACGUAGCCAUGCACUCAUUGGAGUAAGUGGUGAGUCUGCCGUCCUUCUUGCCGCACACGGGCGCGAGCAUCUUGUUGCACGCGCACACGCCAGUCGGCAACUGCUGCUCAGUCUCCUCGCCGGACUCGCCGUCUCCGCUGCCGCUGCCACCGCCGCUGCUGCUGCCGCCGCAGGCGCCCUUGCGGAAAGUCACACCAGUGCAGGAGGCGAGGCACUCAUUGGGGUACUCCACGUCGUCGUUGCCGCACACGAGGUCGGCCUUAGGAUCAUCGGAAGGCGCCGGGCAGGUGACGGCGGCGCAGCCGCUGGCGUCGGCGCAGGCGCCCUGGUACUUGACCCGGGCGCCGUCACACCUGGCCGUACAGGCGUUGGAGUAAGUUGACAGCUUGCCGUUCUUCUUGGCACACACGGGCGCGUAGAUGAACGGGCAUACGCAGUCGGCCGGCUGCUCGCCG